GAAAAUUUGAUGGAAGAAAUAUAAAGUGUAAUAAAUGAAAUAUACCAUUCAAGUUAUUUUAAAUCUGUCACAUACACAAAUACAAACAUUUCUCACAAUAUUGUUCAUAAACAAUUUGUUUAGUCAUAUGCCAUUACGAUAAAUAACAGGAUGUGAAAAGAGAAAUAAGACGAAAAGUGAAUAAAAAGAAAACAGAAAAAAGUAAUAAAAAAAAAAUCUAAUAUGUAUUAAGUGAAUAGUGAGCUAUAGAUUAAUGUGAAUUUUUACUUGACCUAACCCCAUAUUUAUGUGAACAUCAGUUCUUGAUCCUGUUUGCUAUUUCGUUUAAAUUUCAUCGCGUAACGCUGUAUCGGGAAUCUAAGAAUGUAUCAGCUGUAACAACGCAUCAUCGAUUUCCUGUCAAACGAAUUUUUCAUUCUUGCUUCACGCGAUGUGCUACUGAUAGCUUCUUUUUUCUGCUCGAAAUAUAUUUGUAUUAAUUUUUCUUCAAUAUUGGCGUAACUUAAAGAUAUACUUUAUUUAUAUUUAUAUAUUUUACAAACAAAUGUCGCAAAAUAACUUUAAUGAAGAUGCCAUGUUAGAUUAUUACAAAUUACAAUUAACAGCAGACAUUUUGAAAAAUGUCGUGAUUUGAAUUUUCUCAAUUUCAAUUGGAUCAAAUGUAAGAUAUCAAGAUCUCGGAUAAUUUCAUUCUAUCCUGAUUCGAUUACCAAGAACUCAGUGGGUGAUAACAAUCUACAAUUUGUUAUUUAAGCAAAUCGAUGGUCGAUCGAUUAAAACAAACGAGCUUAUAGAUCGCGUUCGUUUCGCAAACACGCGUCAGGACACGUGGCGAACGUAAGUCAUGCCAACCCUUUCGCCGUUCACCGGAAAGGAGAUUUCGUCGAAUUCAUCGAUGAUUCUCUGAAAUCUCUGAGAUUAUAUUGCCUCUACGAAACUGUAUUUCGCAGUAGACGCGUGUACAGGAUGAUUCUCUUCUACGAAUUCGGCCUGCAUGACAUUCCCGACGAAAUGUUCCGUCUGUCCAUUAUUCAUUGCGACCACUGAAAGUGUGCACGCACAUUUCGUGUUUGAAUUUUUCUUUUAUCCAGUUUCAGAAUUUUAUUGCACUCAAGAAAACUGUAUCACUUGCACAAUUAAGAUUAAUAAUUUGAUGAAUGAAAAUCUUCCUAUGUGUUACAUCCGCUUCAAACUUUGAAAUAAUGAAACUUUUCGUUUAAACGAACUUCGGCAUAGUAAUCGCUUUAUCUCACUAACAAGGGUUCCCUACAACUUUCGUUCAACGCUAUGAAAUAUCGACACAAAUGAAGUUAGCGAUUUGAAUCAGGAUCAUUUCAUGGAACGUUUGUAAGGAGCUUCCCCACUCUUUGUGGAUAAAGACAAUUAUAAUCGCGAGAAGAAAAAGAGCAGCGGCCUGCCUCCCUCGGCUUGUAAGUGCUUGUACGUGGCCGGCCCUUUCUCUAGUUCGAGCAUGAGGAGCCUCAUGAAACAUGGAUCGAGAGUCGCCCUGGAAGGAGCUGCGGGAAAGAAGCCGACCGCCUGCCGUGCGGUUGCCGAUCAUCGGCGAUAGUGAUGGGAUUAAUACUCUCACGUAUCGUAUCGAGAAUCCGGUCAAACAAAUUAUAUGUUACAGUUGAAAUCAUAAGUAAGAUGGUAGCCAAGAAGUUAGAAAGAAAAUUAUGAAAAUAUAGACGUAUGAAUUGAAGAUACGAUUCAGAAAUAGGAAAUAUAUCAGUAUAAGAGUAUGGAAAUUGAGAAAAGAAAUUUCAGGAAUAGAAAUUGAAGAGUAUAUGAAUUUAGAUACAGAUGUACAAGAAUGCAUAGAAAAUUUUUGAAAUAUGAAAGAAUGGAAAUUUUGGAAUUUUAACAAACGAAGACUUGGAAGAAAUUACUGCUUGUCUGAAUGAUUUCGCGAUCAGUCCCAUCACUAAUCACCGAUGUGACCACGCGGUUACUUUUCAAGCGGCUGUGCAAGAAGAGCUUCCUGGCGCUGUUGAUUCACGGAAAUUAGUGCCACCGCGGUUCCUCAAAUUUGGCCAUGGAAACUUUAAACCAUCAUUCACAGCAGACAGUUUUUACUUAUAAUUACUUACUUUCAGAAUACUCUGCCCAAUAUGAAAAUCAUCAUAUACAAUCAUUAUCAAAAGAAUUUCCAAUUUUAUGAAAUGUAAUAUUUUCACAUGAAUAUUAUACAAAUUGUAUUAAGAAACUGAACGAUCUUAAUGGUUUCUCAAAUUUGGCCAUGGAAACUUUAAACCAUUAUUCACGGCUCCUUAAACCUUCGCCCUCGGUCGCGUUAAUUCUCAAGUAUUAUCAAUUCAAGAGCAGCUUCAGAGGCACUCGACGCGUCAUCAAUAAACGAUCAACCCCUGUUCGGAUCUAUCUCGUCCUAGGAUCCUUGUCUUGUCGAUCGUUCGCGUGGAUCCCAUCGAUCAUCUUCGUCGGCAGGCGUUCGACGAAAGUUCAAAAAAAGGAGAACACACACACGUGGUGUGUCUGACCAGAAAAAGGAGAGGAAAGGAAAGAAAUUGAUCCUGCCUGUUGAAUCCUCGUUACAAAAUACUCGAUACUCACAGGAGGUCGGCUUUCGUUCGAAACGGCUCUAUCUUCAUGCGAAACCAUGGGAGAGGCAGGUGGCUCUGCGGCCAUAAAUGGGUGAUGGACGACGUAACGAUCUCUUCACUCUCUCGUAUGGACGUCACAAUUAGCCAUCUACGUAGACACGGCUACGAACCAACAAACGGACCGAACAAACUGCCCUGUCUAUCUGUUUGUCUAUCGGAUCUGUCGCUUGCGCGGCAGAGAAGCAGGAAUUGCGUUCGUUCAAUUAACGAUAGACUCGAUUAACUGUAUUCCCUCCGGUGGUGAGCUGGCGCGAAUAUAAAUUAGCGACUUCGAUCGAUUGUUUUGCCGUAGGUCCGGGAGAGAUUGAGAAAGCAGGUGGCGACCGAUCGCACGCAUCCGGACUUUGAAUCGCCGAUUUGGAGUACUCGGAUUUAGGGAGAUUGAUUCUUCCAAGGACGAGAAUAAUUGGAGUGUAAGGAUAAUUUCAUUUGUUUGAAAUUUGUUGAAGAAAGAUCGUUGGAAAGCACUUCUCACUUGUACGGAAAUAGAAUGAGAGUUGUGAUAAUUGAUUAAAAUCUCAUUUUAAUAGAAUUCUGUAUUUCAGGGAAUGUUCAUUUGUCUCUGUUGGAUAGUCUUUUAAUUUUUUUACGUCUUUAGUAGACAUUUUUUAAGUUUAAAGGAAAAGAAAAGAAAGUUUCUCGGUGAGUUUUCAGUCAAGAUUGUAAAGUCAAGUUUUCUUCGCUGUGAAUUCCACAAUUUUAUUAGGUUUAUUCAACGAAAAAUACCCAACUUGAUGCUAUAGUCAAGGACCUAAUUAUCUGAUUCUGAAAAAAGCUUCGCCUCGAAAUUGAAGUUUCUAAACUACCAUGUGUUAACAUUAUCAACAAAGUUGGUCACACUACAGCCAAAACUUUUCUAUUUUCAUUAAAUUGCUCUUUGAUUUCUCCUGAUCUUGCAGAAAUCUUGUUGCCACGAAAAUUAGGCUAAACUUAACUAAAAGAGGAAUUAUCCUUUAAAUCCUUAAAUCCUUUUUGAUGGAUUGAAAAAUUGAAAUUGAGCUAGAGCUAGAUACAUUAUAAUUGAAUGAUAAAAAUCCAAAAAGAAAAAAAUGGAGGAGAAAGAGUAUAAGAAAAAUAGAAAAUGAAAGAGAAUAAAAUGUAUUCACUUUUGACGAACUGAAAUUUUGAGUAACGCCACGUGCUUUUGGCAUUCUGCACUUUUGACAUUUCACGAGCUUUUCACCAACAGACAGCGAUUUUCAAUGGGAUUGUCCUACGGAAAGAGAAACUUCAAAGGGAAUGGUAUUCGCAAAUUGAGCGGAGUCGGUUGGAAUACCUUUUUGUAGUUUCGUAAAUGCAAAAUUCGACAGACAAUGGGUGGACGGGGAAGAGAAUGGGAAGAAAAAAAUACAAGCAAAAUCAAGAUUGUACAAUACGUUCUCUAUAAUGUUGUCAUUGAGAAUUACUAUCUUCUUUAUUAUCAUUUCCUUCCCUCUCUUAAGAAACAUUAAAAAAAAGAAAGAUAAAAUAUGGAAUAAUUCAGGAAUAGUUUCAGAAUUACGCCAACGAUCCAAACAAAAAGAAGAAAGAGAGAUGCAGGAAUUUGCUAGAAGAACCCUCCCAUCAGGAUCGAAUUUCCUUUGCAUCAAUAUUCGAAGGACUGUCUUCUUCGAGAGAAUUGCUCCAAUAAAACCCACGCGUAUUCGUAAAAGUCGCUUCCCUUCUUUGAGCUUUUCGCGUAGGAAAGCGUAGAGUUCCAUCUGCUCGAUGGUGAAUAAAAAUGAAAGGAUUGUUCUUGGAUGCUGUUUGAUCGUCGCCGAGUCUCGCGCGCAUUUCUUUGCCCGUCAUCGAGCCUCUUCUCUAUAGUAACGUGCGUGAGUUCUCUAGUUGCCCAGAUUCGUCGAAGGAAACACAAAUAAACUUGUCCAUGGCACGCUUUUGUUCGUGUCCCGUGUGCACAAGUAAUCAUUGAUCCGAUUUUCUUGUUGGCCCUGUUACACACUUUUUCCGGAUCGACACGAUAAACCCAACGAUAGCAUCAAAGCUUAAUCGAAAGUGCGUCCCUAUGUUCCGUUCACCGAUUCAGCCGCAGUUCUUCUUUCUUUUUUCUUUUUUUUUUUUUCGAUGAACAAGGAACAAGACCCGAUCGGUUUGCUCCUGCCACCCGGAGAGUGUUUGAUUCUAUUUGUGUUGAAGUGAAAUCAAAAUUGUUAAGGAAUAUGGAUAUAAUGGAACACGGAUAUUGAUAUUUUUAUUUCUUAAAAUAUACAUAUGAUAUAAUUAUAAAAUAUUGGAAAAAAUAUUGGAAGUUUACAUAUAAUUAU